UACGGAGGGGGCGAGCGUUAUUCGGAAUUAUUGGGCGUAAAGGGCGCGUAGGCGGCCCGCUAAGUCAAAGGUGAAAUCCCUCGGCUCAACUGAGGAACUGCCUUUGAGACUGUCGGGCUUGAGGCCGGGAGGGGGUAGCGGAAUUCCCAGUGUAGCGGUGAAAUGCGUAGAUAUUGGGAGGAACACCAGUGGCGAAGGCGGCUCACUGGAUCGGUACUGACGCUGAGGUGCGAAAGCGUGGGGAGCAAACAGG
rnacentral:rRNA from 1 species